rnacentral:rRNA from 1 species
AUUGAACGCUGGCGGCAGGCCUAACACAUGCCAGUCGAGCGGAUGAAGGGAGCUUGCUCCUGGAUUCAGCGGCGGACGGGUGAGUAAUGCCUAGGAAUCUGCCUGGUAGUGGGGGAUAACGUCCGGAAACGGGCGCUAAUACCGCAUACGUCCUGAGGGAGAAAGUGGGGGAUCUUCGGACCUCACGCUAUUAGAUGAGCCUAGGUCGGAUUAGCUAGUUGGUGGGGUAAAGGCCUACCAAGGCGACGAUCCGUAACUGGUCUGAGAGGAUGAUCAGUCACACUGGAACUGAGACACGGUCCAGACUCCUACGGGAGGCAGCAGUGGGGAAUAUUGGACAAUGGGCGAAAGCCUGAUCCAGCCAUGCCGCGUGUGUGAAGAAGGUCUUCGGAUUGUAAAGCACUUUUAGUUGGGAGGAAGGGCAGUAAGUUAAUACCUUGCUGUUUUGACGGUACCAACAGAAUAAGCACCGGCUAACUUCGUG